AUUUUUGGGGGGCUUGCACAAGCAGGCUGAGAGUAAGUGAAAUGUAACUUUGACCCUUUAACCUGAUUUGGGUAAUGCCAACGUAGGGAAUUGUAUUUG
rnacentral:ncRNA from 1 species